GGGUUUGUGGUCUAGUGGUAUGAUACUCCCUUAGCACUAUCAUCACACCUUGUGAUCGUCCUGAUUGGGAGUGGUCCCGGGUUCAAUUCCCGGCGAAUCCA
rnacentral:tRNA from 1 species